rnacentral:rRNA from 1 species
UACGGAGGAUGCGAGCGUUAUCCGGAUUUAUUGGGUUUAAAGGGUGCGUAGGCGGGAUGCCAAGUCAGCGGUAAAAAUGCGGUGCUCAACGCCGUCGAGCCGUUGAAACUGGCGUUCUUGAGUGGGCGAGAAGUAUGCGGAAUGCGUGGUGUAGCGGUGAAAUGCAUAGAUAUCACGCAGAAUUCCGAUUGCGAAGGCAGCAUACCGGCGCCCUACUGACGCUGAGGCACGAAAGCGUGGGUAUCGAACAGG